rnacentral:rRNA from 1 species
AGCUCCAAUAGCGUAUAUUAAAGUUGUUGCAGUUAAAACGCUCGUAGUCGAGAGUGUAGGCGAGUCCGGAUGGUGUGCCGUUGGCAGUACUGAGCGGGGAGCCUAUUGAUGUGGGGGGAGGGGGAGACUGAUGGUGUCUGCUGAACCCCGAGAUUACUGUGAAGAAAUUAGAGUGUUUAAAGCAGGCGUUUGCUUGAAUACGUUAGCAUGGAAUAAUGGGAUGGGACUUUGGACCGUUUCGUUGGUUUGAUGGCCAAGGUGAUGAUUGAUAGGGACAGUUGGGGGCAUUAGUAUUCAGUAGUCAGAGGUGAAAUUCUUGGAUUUACUGAAGACUGACUAGUGCGAAAGCAUUUGCCAAGGAUGUUUUCA